rnacentral:pre_miRNA from 1 species
CAAGUACUCCCUCCGUCCGGAAUUACUUGUCAUCAAAAUGGAUGUGUCUAGAACUAAAAUACAUCUAGAUACAUCCAUUUCAAUGACAAGUAUUUUUAGACGGAGGGAGUACAAG